GCGGAGAACGCGAAUCCCGCGACCUGUGAACCACUCUUAAUAUAUCGUGCCAUCGCGUCAAAGGCGUCGCUUUGACCAGCUUGCCUGUCCACCAAGACUCAGCCGAGUUUAACGAUGUUAACAACGCCGGCAUUCUACCGAAAGAGGCCUCGCUAAACUGGAACGUUCGUCUCUUAUUCCGGUCCGCGCUUAUUACUCUAGAAUCGAACAGGAUAAGCGAACACUGUUUCCUGUUACACAUAGAUAUCGAUUUUAGGUUCAACAGAUCGACUGCUUAGUUUUGUCAAUUUCCUGUUUCUUUCCUGUUUAACUUCCCCGCGCGAUAAUCUUUCGAGCUUAGUAAAUGAAUAUGAAAGUUUGGUUAAUUUUUCAAUAGGAAUUGUUGGUCGAUGGUUGAGAAUCCCUGCUUGAGGGAAUCGUACUGAUAAGAAUGAAUUAUGCAGAUGAAUGUUGCGGCGAUGUCGCCGAUGUAUCAAACCGCCUCAACUAGCUCAUUCUCCUUCGUUAUCUAUUCGUUGACGAGCCCGACGUGCGCGACGUGAUCGUGGACCAGAAAUCCGGACUGUUCCCAUGUUCCACUUAUAGCAUUUGGUCCAAUCGCACGCGUCUGACUUUAGACGAUGUCUGAUAGCCCUAAAAUCAACACCAGGCUCGAUCCUACUGACGCAAACAUCCCUAUCAGCCCUGCAAUUCGUCACGAAUGAAAAUCGCGAGGCUACAUAUCUAAAUGAAACAUGAUCUAUGCGCUUACGACUUUAGGUUCCACGUUUAAAUUGGUACUUAUGGGAUGUUCAGUGGAUGUGGAUUCGUCGAAUAGAUAGCAAAAUCCCAUUCAUUGACAAAUUCAAAAUGAUCCAGAUGAUACCUAGGUCUCGCGGGCAUAUGCAAAUAUAUAUUUGCGCUGAUUAUCUACUUUCAGCACUUUGAACGAAAGAAAUAAAUUGAACAAACUAUGUGAUAUUUAUCUAAGCAGAUAUUAUUUGUACAAGACUAGGAACUCGAGGAACAAAUAACAAACUUCCAAGCAUUAACAAAUGGACAGAAUGAUUGUCGAAUGAUUGUCGACAGAAUGUCGUAAUAUAUUUGGGUUGAUUACUGUCAGCGAUACAGAUGAAAGAAAUAGAUAGAAUAAACUACGCAAUGUACUGCCAAUAAUUAACGAAAAAAUAAAGGAAAAAUUCUUCAUUUCCAUUUGUUUGUGAAAGAAAUAAAUAACAUAAAUUAGAACAAGAAACAAUAACACAAAUGUUGCAACUAGAUAGCACAGAAUACCAACACAAGAUUAAACAUGGCAAUAGAUUGCGUACGAGGUAUUUAACGUAUACGAGGAAAUUUCGAGGACGGAGAGACGGCUCAUGACGGUUCGUCAAGCCCUGGCCAAAAUGCCUGGCGCUCCGCACAGUGCCCGAAAAGGCGGUCGCCUCGAGUCCAGCAAGGUAACCGUUAAUGAUCUUCAAACAAGUCUCGCGUCAAUUUCGAGCGGGCAAUUCGGUGAGACUGGACUAACAGGUGGAAUAAAGGCAACGUAACGAGCCCGAGGUGUAGCCUGAAACGAGCUCGUGGUUGUUAGACUUCUAGAAGCACGAGGCCCGAGAGAAAAAGGUAAAAAGGCAAGAGGGAAAGAGAAGAGCCAGGCGAAGGUGACGAUAGAUCAUUAGGUAGUUGACUUGGUUUAAGUAACGGUGGCUAAUUAUCCCGGCGAGAGUUAAUAACCUAGCGAAAGGAAGAAGCCGAGGGAGGUCACGAGACUGGCAUGUCGAUAUUCGAUUCUACUUGGCCGGGGAUCUCUCCGGGCUGGCAUCGAAGCACGUUACAAAAGUCCGAGUGGCGGAACAGAACGAAGAGAAGAAGGAAAAGGGGGCGCGAGUGGGAAAGGUAAGGAGGGAGGUGACUUAAUGAUGCCGCAUCCGGGAGUCGCCAGGACAUUGUACCGCGCAAAAAAGGAUCUUAUAACGCGUUCACAGCUGGACCCGCAUUCUACGUUCCCCGUGUUCGAAUGGGAGACCCCGAUCCAUUAACGACCCGACGCAAACAUUAAUAAUCCGCAGCUUCGCCUCGAUUGCCGUGCGGACGCGAGCUGCAAGGUGGCAACCUUGGCCAGGUGACGUAAUAGUGGCCCGAUCUUUUCGACCCAGCUUCCUGGACUCCAUGACUACUGUUGCUGCUGGACCCUUAAUACAGGGAAACUAUCAGUCAAUAAUCAGUUGACCCUUUUCAAGUUUUACACGAUACACGAGGAAGUAGUAGAUAUCGUUUCGUUGUAAUAAUCAAGUUUCUAUCGAUUAAUAUAUUGGUGCAGAAGGUUUGAAAUAGUCAUUAUAUAAAUUUUGAUAUUGUUUCAAUUACGAGACUUUUGUCCCCUUGUUCCAAGAUUUAUGUAAGGAAUAUCGGAUUGAAUAGGUGCAUUAGUACUGCCCAUAGUCAAUUCCAUGUGAUAUUUUCUACUACAUAUAAUAUAUUGCUGGAAGUUGCUGCUUCUUUGUCAUCCAUUAUUCUCUAUUCACAACUAUAUUCUUCAUAUUUCAUGAUUCUUUAUACUAUACGAUAGUUAUAUAAAUAGUAAUUGGCUAAUUAUUUCUAUACAACUGCUCUGCUAUAAAUUUAAGAAGUAGUCUCGCUAUUUCCAUUAAGGAAUCCAUCGAUGUUCCAAGUGUCUCUGAACAUCAAGCAUUUUCUUAUUCCACAGUGAUACGCAUAGUCUUCGAUAUUCUACACAGUAGUCGCUGAGUAUUCGUAACGAUGUAACAUCCACCCAUAACGCAUGAUACUCCGAACAAAACGAAUGUAAAUCAGGGCAAUAAAUACUGAAUAAAUUAGUUUGACGAGGAAAGGGGAACGACUCGAUCGUCUGAUUUCCCUGAAAAACAGCAAAAUCGGCGAAAUAGAGUCGCGUAGCCGUGGACCGUGAGAUAAGGUGAUUCGGUUCGAUUUCAAAAAAGCAUCGGCCUCCCGCGGCGAGGAUUCUCGUUCAUCCAUUCAUCCAGCCGCGUGUUACGUUGGUCUUCCACCGCGUGUUGAAAGAAGAGGGCGACGCAGAAGAAGAAGGAACAGAGGUGGAGGAGAAUAGAGCGUACAAUCACGAUGAGUAGCGGCCCUGAGGUGCGAGCCGCGAGUGGAAAGGCUCCCGGGCUGCCAACCUAAUAAAGCAAUUUGUCACGGUUGUCGUCCGAAUGCCAGCCAUACAUUAACACACAAUCUCGCCUCCGAGAUAGUCGGCCUCCGUCCUCUUCGUCUUCCUUCCCUCCGACAUUGGACCAUCCUCACCUUUCCUGUUUUCCUCUUUUUCCAUUUGCCACAUCGAGGCUUUCUCUGUCCACGACUUCGAUCCUUUCGUCACGGUGAAAAAAUCUCUCCUAUUCCGGUGACCAGGUUAAUCCUUCCGACAAUAAGGCGCAGUUAUCUGCAGCAUGAACCCUCAUUUAUCAAUUGAAAAGAAUACGCUAUUAAAAGACCCUCUGGUCUCUUAUUCUUGUGCCAAGAGUUACGACGACGCUUAUUUUUUUAGAUCGAUUUUACGUUAGAAACGUGUUUGGACUACUUUUCUCAUUUAAGAUGGCGGUGGUGUAAGAGAAACUUUAUGUGAAAUUCAUCUAGAAGGUUUACCCGUAGCAUGUUUCGUGCAAUACCAAUUUUACGUGAUUUGUCAUCCUAGUUGUACAUUCAUUACAUUUAUACAACAUUUUAUGUCACAAAAUGAAUGCUAUGGAAUUAUGAAAAAAUAAGUACAGUAUACUGCAAAACAUUGCAAUAUACUGCAAAUUAUUGCCAGAUUAAUCGAACUCUUGCUUAUUGAACUAACCGAUCCUAUUACAUGACCGAAACAAGAUGAAUAGCGAGAAGAACUAACGAAAUCCUAUUACGUAAAUUGUUUGCUCGCUAACGAAUUCAGAUAAGUAGAACUCUACUAGAAUCUUAUUUCCCCUGAGAUACAAAGUAUCAAACAGCUCGAAGUUGCAGCGUGGAUCAUCGCUAACCUACGCGACAGAGAAAAACCGUGUCGAAACUUUCUCCUUCUUUUUAGAUAUCCCAGUUUCGCGUGAUUCCGACCAAGUUCUGUUAUAUAGCUCGAAAACAGAAACAAUAUUAUCUGCCGGUCGAUUCGAAGCACACAACGACCAGCCGGAUUAUUACGCGGUUUUUGCACCGUGACCCUGGAACAACCGGGCUCUCGACGAUGGAUUCUGACUUCCUCCGCGACGUCGUUGUAAAAGCUACGAGAUUCUGCAGCUUCUUGCUACCGGCGAGAAGCAGCACUCUCGAGGUGCGGGACAUUCGUGAUUGAUGGAUCCUCUCUCCGAGUGGUCUCUCCGGCGAAUCAGACUCGGCCACACUCUCUCUUCUCCUAACGUUCGUUCACAGUUCUUCUUCUGUGGUUGCUUUGCAGUUUCUUCUCACCACUAGAACGUACGCCUUCGCAUCCGAUGAGAGUCGGCUUUCUAAUCAAGAAUUAUUGGUCACACUCGACUGGUUGGUUCACCUGGUUCUCCAGAAGGUGGUAGCCAGUAUUCUCCUGCGAUACAACGUAACGCAACCAUGUCACAUGGAGACGGUGUCGAUUCGGCAGAUGAUUGAGACAUUCUCGAAGGUAGAUCGGAAUCGAUCCAAGCACACGGAGGAUUCGAGAUAGCACCUGAGGGGGUGGGUUUCGUGCCGGACGAGCUGGCAUGGAUCCACCGUGUCGUCGACGGUGUUUCCAGUUCAAGGUCAGCGGGAAUCUAGGAUGGGUCGCAUGUCGAAGGAACCAGAGCGACGACGAUGUAUCGGCGUUCGGUGGUCAGCCACAUGGCGAAUUAAGGGUCAGCCCAUUACCGAUUUGACCUCGGAUGACCCGGCAGUGUAUACAGAGCUGGUUGCGUGCUGCUUGAUUCAAUUAACCCCACGACACACAAAUACGCGCGCACACACGCGUAUUGCGUUCUAUGCUUACGCGGACGCGUUUGCACGUGUGGGACCGUCGGUCGAGUGGUCGAAGUGCUUCGGUCGAGGAACGAAGCACGACCGAUGCCACGACAAAUUGGCGAACCUCGUUGUACUCGUGAGGGAAUCGUAGAGAAACGGGGCUGGUGGGGCGAAUUGAAUCUCAGAUACGACAAUUAGAUCGUAGAAACGGGUUUGAGGGAGAAAUCGUCGAAGAGAAUGUAGUUUUCUGGGAAUUACAGUAGUAUUGUAUUAUAAAUGUUUUAAAUGGCCGAUUUAGGUUUUAAGUUCUUGAAGUUUAUGGGUUUGAUGAUUAAGGUGUGGUUUGUAUUUAUAAAAUACACAAAAUAAAGUACUCGUCAUAAUAUUUAGUAAAUAAUAUAAAUAUCUAGAUCCUGUCAUGUUCACAAAAAUAUGGAUUUCAUAAAUUAUCGACUAAGUUAGUUUCUUGAUUUUAAAUUUUCAUUUCCUACGAUUAUCGUAUGCCCUGCUCUAUAACGUCUAAUAUAAUAUUUUUAAUUUCGCAAAAGUUAGAUACUUCUCAUUUUAAACAUCACUGCAAAUAUAUAUAACCACACAUCUCCAAAUUCAGAUCUUUGCUUGACAAGAUAAUUGUAUCUUUGACUUCGCAAAAAUUUCGAACAACUAACUCAGUUCAAUGUCUUUUACGUUACCAAGAUAUCAGAGAGGAAACGAACGAAGCUUCGCGCUUUUAGCGAAGAGAAGAAACACACGUGCCUGUCAAGUAUCGAAAAAUGUAGAAAUCCGACGAUUUUCGCAGACCAACAACGGAACACCACGGUGGCAAAUUACAGGCCAGUUUAAUUCAUAUAUAUAUAUAUAUAUAUAUAUAGAUAUAUAGAUAUAUAUAUAAAUGUAUACACAUAUAUAAAUUGUUUCAAAUUAGCGGUUUAACAGGCGUGUCCAGUAUCAUUAUCUAGAACGUUAGCGGCAGGACGUGGGUGUUAAAACAGAUCAGAAAGUCGUUCGUGGAUCGAUAAGGUUAAAUCGCUCUCUCGUGUUCCGUCUGCAAUUUGCGAAAGGACCUCUUAAUUCGAUGUGGUUUUCUGAGCUCCCCGAACCGACCGUCAGGCACGAACAACGUGUAAAUAUGUAACGAGUUCAUUAGGCUGCUGGUCCGGCGAACUUUCGUGCCCCGCCAUAACGGCGAUCGUCCUGCUAAUUACGGUUUCACCGAAUUUCCGCGAUUAACGACUCCCUGAGUCCACUUCUUUUCCACCUCCCCUUCUCCAAUGUCGGGCAUCGACGUCUUAACGACGAACAGCCUUCAAUGAUGGAACUGAUUAAUCAUGGCUGUCUUUACCCUCCAUCAGUGUAACCCAGAAUUAAAUUUCGCGAAAUAAGUGUAUGUCUACCUGUGUUUAAGCGAAGAAGAGCGGAAACGCUUGAAGAAAUAUAUUCACGAGAGCCUGAUGCAAACGUAAUUAAUCUUAUCAGGCGUUUCGUGUAAUUUUAUAUUGCCAUCCUUCAUCCCUUUCUCUUCGAUAAAUAAAAUUCUUAUAACAUUGUCGGAUAUAUGGGCCAAAUAUUAUAUCUCGACCAUAUAUCAAUUUUUUUCUUUCUCAAUGUUGGGAACUUUGGCCUGACAGCACAAAAAAUUUGUGUUUAUCGUCGUUGCAAACAAAACAUUUCAUUCGCCCGAUGUUCGAAAAUAUCAGAACAAUCAAAGUGGUUAAAAUUACUAAUUCGUAAUUUGUUAUAUAAGUUUUAUAAUUCUUCUAUUGCAGAUAUACACUGCACAUUAUUCUUUAUCCAUAUAUACUCUGAUAUUUUGUUUACGCAAGUUUCCCAUUUUAAUCGUCGAUCCUUCUAGCGUUAAUUUCUCGCAUGUACAUGUAUAAGCGAAUAAGUGAGAUAAGAUUGAAAGAAGCUAUUCCUUACAAGUCUGUAAUGGUCUAAUUGACGUGUGAUCUGGAAAACGAGGAAAAAGAAGGAGCCCUUAGGAAGAACCGAUAUCGUCGAUCUUGAAGAGACAAUCGGCUGGCGCAAUCAGUAUCAUGUUUUCCCCCUCGGUUGCUUUGGUUCCUUUUAUCCUUUUAUGCAACGUUAACGCCCAACAAAUGGACCUCUCGACUUCUAUCGUGUCAACGCAUUUGAUAAGAGGCGAGGUCACCCGGUUACCAGUCAACAGAUGCGUCCAAUUGGCCGGCCUAAUGCUAUUGCAGCAUAGCCGGCAGCGUACCAGCCACAAAAAGUAUACGUGCAUUCGCGUUACCAAGAAAACUAUCCUACCUCCACGCGAAUCCAGAGAAUAUAGCUUACGAAGUAAGUAAAUUGAAGAGGAACGCUGUUAUCCGAGUUCGUAUUUUCCUCUGAUUCGAACUAGUUUGUUGGAACAGCGAUUUAUUUCACGGAAAAAGCGGUGGAACGAGAACAAGAAACGAGCCGAGGAAUCGUGCGAACAUAGGUUUCUAGAUUUAGAUUGCUCGUUAAUUCAGCCUUUACUUUGUGUUACGACAAAUUGGCUGGCGUUAAGAUUCAGGAGUAAUUCAAAUUGAAGGGUUCAGUGAAGGGAAAGUGAUAUAGGUGAUGAAAUAUUUAAUUUGAGGAGAGCGUGAGUGUAAUUAAACUGUGAUAUAGAAAUCAGUAUGCCUUCGAACAUUAACCCUUUGCACCUCUAUCUUUUUACACGAAUAGACGCGAAUAGAAUCGAUGAUCGGAGCAGAUUCAAGAUAUCACUUCGAACAGUUAAAAUACCUUGUCUUACGUAGACGUUAAAAUUUGGAGAUUUAUAAUAAUCUUUGUAAAAAUCCCUCUUCUAGGAAAGUACGAAUACACACAUCGCACAUACGGUGGAUCAUUUCAUGUACUUGCAUCGUUUCACAAAAAAUCCAUCAAUUAUAAUUUCUCGAUCAUUAACGUGAUACUUAUCAUACGUUAUAAAAUUAUCCUUAAAUUAUUGUAAAACGUCUCAUUCCUUUUUUCCCGAAACUUUACAAAGAUCCAUCCUAAUCUCUAAUUAAAACAAAAUUUACCAGUAGAAAAAUAGCCGAGACUUUUUGUCGUCAUCGAAAGAAACCCACUUUCAGACGCAUUAACUGAAAGUUACACGACACCCUGAUAUUAGUAUUCGCGAGAUAAAACUCGUUUAAUUCCCAUUCCAGCGCGACAAUACGCACUCAACUAGGUACGCGUGCAUUAACGUGUAUGUACAUACGUAAUCCUGUUCAACGAGCAUCCUUAAGUGUAACUUAACUUAACGCGUAAUGCACCCUAUGAUAUUAGGGAGAGCGCGUACGAACGAACGAACAAUGUGUGUGCGUGUGCGACGAUAGUUUAUCCUUUUUCGAUGUACUGACUUGAACCCAUCGCCGUAUAUGUGCGUGAACGCAUUUACGGAGCCCUUCGCGUUUGCACUUCAACCGACUGCUUCUCGCGCACCACUCUCCCCAUCGAUGCUGCGUUCCCUCACCCCCUGGACCCCUCAUCAAACCCCUCGUAGCCUGAUUGAAUCUACUCCGCGUGCGGCUUUUAUUUCGCGCCGUGGAAACCCGAGCCAAUCCGUUCUCGUUCCACGAACUGCGGCGCGCCGAAAGUCACGUUUUGUUACUGGAGCGUCCGUCGAGAUUUUUUCAAUUAGCCGCGUCUAUCCCCCAACACGUGAAAGUGCUUUUGUUCUUUUCGCGGACGUUGCCCAUCGUCAUGGUAUUCCGCUGUUGAUGGAAAUGUCGAGGAAUCGCUGCUGUGUACGAUCCUUGUAUCUUUGGUUUCUACAAGAUAAAUUUUAGAGAGAACCUUUUGAGGAAUUUUUAGUUUCUAAGGAUUCUAAGGACUAGUAGAAUAUGUUUUGAAUUACGUGGUAAAUCUCGAGGAAAUUUAAAAGACUGUCUAAGAAAUUUUCUAAUUUUCAGGGCUGAUUUUCAGUUCUAAGCUGAUUAGUAUUAGCGAGGAUGGUUAACAUAAGUAUUCCCUUGAAUAAGGAAUAAAUAAGACUCAGAUAAGUAAGACUUUUGAAGAGUUUUCUAAGAAAUUUGGAAAAUAUUAAAUCUCGCAAAGUUCUAAAUAAUCUUUUGAAAAAUUUCUUAAUUCGCAAUGACGCAACUUCUCGACUAAAAUAGCUAUAAUUCGUGAAGGUAAGGUGAAUAUCUGGAGAAGGAGAUGAACCGAGGGUUUUCAAUCUAGGACAUUCGACGGCUCAUGGGAUCGUCGAAUUGCGGAGUCUGCAAUCGUACCACGGCCCGAAGUUUUGAUGUCACAAGUUUCUCCUGGAUGUCGAGAGUGGUUGUUAAAAGGAGGUGUCGCAAUCGUGGUCGGCCGAGCCACUGUGCUGCUGUAGCCCUGGACUGCGCAACUCCUCGUCUUUCCGUAAUCUCUUGAAUAUACGAACUCGUAUUACGUCCUACCUGGUGUACACGCGACGUGCGUGUGUGUCCACGUGCUUUUACAACUGGAACUCGCGUUAUUGCGUUCUUGCCUACGCCGCGUGGCAAUUAUAAUUUUCGAGGUUUACGGCUGGCGAGUGCGGUUAUUUUUUUCAUUCUUUCGUUUUUGCAGUCACGCUGCGGAUUCCGCCGGCUAAAUUCGCGUUGAGCGGAUUUUACGCGUACAACUACCACAGCCGGGGCAAAUUAGGUUCAAUUAUUUAUUCUUGGAACCGAGGAGGGGGCGUUCAAACUUGGAACGUCUGCUAGAGAGCUCUCGUUUCUACAUUCUAAUUUCCAUCUUAAUAGAGCCGCUUCGAAAACUCUAUAUAUUUCCCAUCUAUUUUUCCACAAUUUAAAAAAUAAUCAAAUAAUUUGAAGAAUUGACAACGAUAAGAAAGCAGCUCGAGUAUUUAAAUCGUAUUUAUUAGAGGAAAAAGAAAGCUAUAGGUUUCCUAUUCAAAAGUGCAAAUCUUUAUCACUACGAAUAUUAAUCGGCUAUGAAUUUAUAGCGCGUUUAAGAAGUCAUUUGAUUUUGACUGAUUCUGUGUUGAUUUUCGUUGAUUUAUACACAUUAGUGGAAUUAGAACGGAUAUGGAAUUAAAAAGAGGAGUUGCUUACUUAUUGCUACCCUUUUAAAUAUUAUCUCCGUCUUAUUUUCAAGAAAAUCUUUAUUUCCACUGAUUUGUAAUAAUAGAAUCUUAAUAACGACUUUAUAGCCACAAGCCCGAGAUGAGUCGCUAUAGAAGUCAAAUCGCAAAUUAAGCCCGCUUACUUGGUGGUCCACGCGUCAGGGUCCAACGAAUGCACUGAACUGGAAUCGCGCGCUGUCCCCACGGAAUUCGUCGCCGCAGAAACGUCGUCGGUACGCGAUGUCACCCUCCUGCGGCAAUUAAACUAUCCCAUUCGACAAGUCCCGAUUCCAAGAUCAGAUUCUCUUCAAACGCAUUCACGCUCUAUGCGAACACGCAUUUGUCGCGUGAACGCGUACAGAUAAUCACACGUGUGUGCACAAUUCUCUAUCCGUUGGUCAUUUCGUUCCUCUAAUUCCAAUUCCAUUACUGUAUUCAUUAGAAAGUAUUUUAUGAUGAGAUUGAUGCAAUACCUUCACAUAAUCGUUAGUCAUUAGCAUAGAGACUAUAGUUGACGAGAUUAAUUUCGAAGUCGCUAAAUCUAGAAAAUUCAAUAGCUUCAUAAAAGGGAUGGAUUUAGAAAUAGAAUUUUAUUAUGAUUAUUAAUGUAGUUCUAAUGGAGUUCUUAGGUUUGGGAAAAUUAUUUAUUUAUUCCUUUGAAAAAGGGGGUGAGUUUACAUUAAAUGUUACUUAUUUAACUUAAUUUAACUUAAUUAAUAUGGGCACUCGAUUCAUUAACGUAUUAUCUUACUAUGAUUGUUGGUAUAAAGACCAACAUAAUGGUAUUAAUCAUGGAAAUUAAUUCCAGAACUGUCAAUCUUGAAAAAUUUAUUUCUUCGAAACAAGGAAAUUUCUUGUGGAAUUUGUUAUAAACGAUACCUUGAUUAAUACGAGUAAACUUAAUUCUUUUAAGAUUUCAGAAUGGAUUUCUAAACGUGAGAAAAUGAUCCCAAGACGAACGAGGAGUCACACCAUGACAAGAUGAUCCCAACGGCGACCCACAAAAUCCUCCGUGGCCAGAUCGUAUUAGGCUAAUGUACAUAAAGCCCGGUCUUGGGAAGAGAGGAACGCAUAGGGAGUCGGCAAGAGAGACUAGACUAGAGAAGAGGGUGAGCUUUGAUUGGUCCAUUGAGGACACGUGCUGGCAACCCCGACGUGGGCCAGCCCUCUGGCUGUGCAUCUCGUUACGAACUCAUUCAGGAACUCCAACGUCGCCAAUGACGGAAUCAAGUGGGAUUGUUAACGGGGGCACCGUAGGUGGCUGGGACAGAGAGAAGGCGAUAGAGAUCAGGACCUAAUGACAAUGACGAUAUAAUCAGACAGGAUAAUUCACUUUACAUGAUCGUCACGAGCCACUGCGGGAUUCUCCAGUCUUAUCCCAACAGAGAACCGAUUCCAACUCAACGUUCCUUUGAUCCCCCAAAAGCAAAUCAUAUCGUGCGGAUGCAUUUGUACGAUUCUAGAUCCCCAUUGAUAAGGUUCUCGCGAAGGAAUCGAUGUUGUUGGAUUGGAACCAAGAGGGAAGGGUAGAAUAGAAGACUCUUGAAAGUGGUCGUAAUACUGCUACAAUUAGAUUAGACGUGCAUACGUGUAUAUACAUAUGAGAGACGAAACAAAAGUAGAUGAAAUAGAAGUGAGAAAAAAUAGAACGAAGGGGAAGAAGGAGACGGAAAGGAGAAAGAGUAGCGGUCGACGUUCCCAUGUGUUCCUACGAAGUCGAUCAACCUGGUUUGUUCGAGCGAGCAUGUGGGCCAACAAUGCCCACUUCGGGAGCAACCGCGACGCACUUCACUUCGUCCAUUAUUCCGUCCACGUUUCCAUGUGGCUGGGGUGCCGGGGGUAUUCCCCGUUGCCAACAACAUCGCAGCCAGAAACUACCCAAGCCUUCACGGUACACGAAGAGGGUUCUCCAGCGCACCGGCCACUGUUGAAAGACCCUGAAGUGCACUCCUUGAAAUUCGCUACGCGGCAAGUAGCGUCGAGUCGGAUGGCGCUACCUGCGUCCUCGAGCGGUGAUGAAGUCGAGGGAAGCCCUUCAAGCAGACAGGGGGGGUUGGGUGACCAAAUUUUUGGUUACCGCCAGAGGCUCGUCUCUUCUUCGUCCAUCGUCGUCCUUUCGUUAGCCGCGUUUCUAUCUACUUUUCAUGCGUGAUUCGGAUUACGAGUCUGCGGUGUUGUGGUGCUCACUAUAAUUGGAGGAUCGCCUGUGCAAAUGACUUUAUUGUUCGGUGUUUUCAGUCACGUACAGUACGCUGUCUAAGUUGCAAAUGUGGGAGAAAUAUUUUGGAAUAAAUUCAAUUACCGAAUAUGUGUAUGAAAUAUCUUUUACUGGAAUGUUUUAUUCUCUUUUAUUUUAUUUUGUUUUUCUUUUUUUUUCAGGGAAUUUUUGAUAUAGUAUUUAGAAGAAUAUUUUAACACAACUACUAGUUAUCGUAUCAAAUGAAACUCUUCUGUGUUUUAAUCUUGCUUAAAACUUUUUGUACAUUCUAAAAAAUUGUCUUGCAUAACAUUUUCAGUAGGUUAAUGAAAUCUGUAUCAAUUUUAAAUUCAUUUAACAGUGUUCCUAACCCGUGUAAUUUAUCCAGAGCGGCCAUUUUCCGAUCCGCAACGACAGUUUCAAUUCUUAGCUGGUUGGACCCUCGAGUCUGGCUCUCCUUUAGAUCGGUUAGAGGUGCGGGUACGGAUGUGAAAGAGAAACGUACGUAUGUACAUUCGUUGGUAGCCGAACGAAGGGUGAAACAAUAAGCGACGAACGACAAUGAGGAUUUAAGUGGCGACCUCAAUGAUAUCAACUGCACGCUGGAAUAGAAUUCAAUUGAAUUGAAGGAACAGCAAGGGGAGUCCUCCUCCUCCCCUCUACCUUUAUGUCUCUCUUCUGGACAACGUUUUGUAAGCACUUCAUCAACGUGUUUAGUACUUUCCGCGUAACAACUUGACGUCCAACAAAAUUCUCAAGCUUCAAGCUUGAUUUACGUCUACGUUGCUCAUCUCGAAUUGAAAAUACCUGAUAACCAACCGUUGGUAUACGUAAAGUUCUCAAGACCGAUGAUCUAAUCAAUUCUCAAGGCUUUUCAUUAAAAUCUAAUUGACAUAUUACCGUCUUCCUCCGUAUCAUCGAGAAUUCCUUGAAACGUACCUGGUUCCUAGAUUUUAUAUUGCAAUUUCAUAAAUUGAUAGCUGUCAAUUAACUACAUAAAUGAGGCUUAGGAUUAUCUAAGGAUAUCUUCGAUUGAUAGAAACGAAGAUGUACGUUAGGAACAUCUAGCCAAGAUUUCCACUUUUGAUAUCGAGUUUUGUUAUAAAACUGUUCAUUUAAGGGAUAACUACCUGGUAAUCCUCUUCUUCUUCAAGCCAUUUCUCUCGGUGGAAUAUCAGGCGUCGUUCUCUUCUGUAUAUCGCGCAUGUAGAUGUAUAUGGGAAUCGGUCGAGUGUUUUCAGCGUCGAUCCGUGACGCAACAGCAUCAUCUACAUAAUUAAUAGAACCGUUUAUGCGUCUACGUGUAGCUACAAACAGGGCUGGCAUGUAGUUAAUACAUCGUGUCGGGCGAUCGCGCGCGAUUAUGAUUUCAUUGCUAAAAGCUAUAUGAGCUUUAUCGGGCCAUAUAAAGGCAUUAUCAAGCGUGUAUCCAGCCAUUAGCUGAACACACGCGAAAACAAAUAAACAACAUGGAAACUGAAAACAUCAAACGCGAUCUGUUCACAUCGACUUUCUUUAUGCAUAUAAUGUAAUAAUGUUAAAGUAUCGUACGACUUGUAAUAUUUAUUAUAUCGCGAUUAAAAUGUAACAAAUUAUUUCUUUGACGUGGAACAACCACUUACGACUAUUAAUUCUCGUUAUUUUUAAACGAUCGUAGCAUUUUCGUCGAUGUCUUCAUCAUAGGCAGUUCCGUUUCUUUAACCUUGGUACACGAAGAACUAUGAAAGACGUAUCGACCGCUAUGGUGGCGCCAUCUCUUCAGGAAGUGGCGAACCAAACUCUCGUGCAUACCAGAAUCGGUUCGUGCCGGCGGAACAGAGGCUUUAUCCCACUUUAUACGGCACUCCAUAAAACCUCCAAGUACCAUGGCCCGCGUAUACGAGUCAUAUUCGCGUCUGAGACUUUGAUCGAAGUUUCGUUAACGAAACUGCAUUUUAAGUAUCGCGAAAAAACCUCUAACGUUACGAUUUAUACACUCAGAAUCGAAGGAUGUUCGUCUGAUUCGUCAGAAUGGACCUAAUGGCAUGUACCUCGGCUAAUUGGGUCCUCGAUUUUAAACAUAAUUCCGUAUCUUAAUGCAGAACGGAAUAUCGAGUAGUCGAUUGCUAGCAAUAACCCUCAUUAUGUACUUCCUUUUCAUAAUAUCAAGCGGUUUACAAUUUACCAGAACCGCUCGAACGCUUAUUCCGAAUAUAAUCAACUUCCAUGAAACAAAUAUCGUACUUUUCGACUAUCAAAUUUUCCAUCGAUAAUUUUAAUUACAUGAGAGACUUUACGUUCGAAAACUUUAAUUUAAAGCAUAAAGUCUGGUAUAUUAAUACAAAUAGAGAAAGUUAAAAAUGACAUUCAUAUAUUUCUAAAAUUCUCAGCCUCACCCAAUAUCACCCAAAUUGCGUAUACCAUAGAAUAAAUAUUUCAAGAAAACCCGAUUAUAUGUUUACGGAGAAAUCUCUGCGCCUCCUUAGCAGCACCAAAGAUUUAAAUUAUUCCAUCGAAUGAAUACUUCGAUAAAAUCAUAUGUAUAUAUUUACAAAGAAAUUUCUAUUUCACCCAACAACAGCCAAGAUCCAGAUCACUUCACCGAACAAGUAUUUCGAAAGGAUACAAAGAAUAUAUUCGAAUAGAUCCAAAUCACAUCACCAACGAAAGUAAUUCAUAUCUCCAUAGAGAAAUUGCUAGCCUCGUCCAAGGCUCAAAUUACUCCACCGUUAAAUAAAUACUCCAAGAAUGAAAUUUAUCGUCGAUUUAGAUCACUACGAAUAAGUGUCCACAUGCUCAUUGACCAAAAUCGUCGAAAGCAGGGACCACGCUCGAGUGUCUCUCUCAGCGUCGAUGAGAAAAUCCGUGUCCCAUAAAAGUCAAAAGCUUAACGUGACGCAGUCACUAUUUCAUUUUCGCCAUAGUCGAACUUGGUAAAGAUUGGUCGCGACGAGAGGUCCGAAGAAUGUCGACGGUCGUUUUCUCCGUGCACGUAUAGGCGACAUCGCGGAGCUGGCGUGUAUAAAAGAAUCGCGGCGGAGAGCAACUUAGAAGGCGACGACGUCUGUUUAAAGUCGUCCCACGGGCACCUACGAUCCUGUUGGAAAGGACCAAUGACCGAACGGGGGCCCAUGGAAGGAGCCAAUCGUGCUAUAGGAACGCGCGGUAUCCAGGACUCUCGGUAAAAACCAUCAAACGAAGCCGCCGGCAUUCACGGAAAGCAGCGACCCUGCUGCACCCUCUCUUCGACCGUGUCCACCUUGCGUCCUUCCUGCUGCAUCGACCGCAUUUUUUCCGUUGCCAUCGAUCGUGCCGUUCACCGUUCGCGAAAAAGAUCGUUCGGGGGAAAGGAAAGUAAUCCCGGUACGCGGGAUAGUGCUAAAACUCGACGUAGCGGUAUCUCGCGAUGCACUCGUCCGCUCUUCGUCCUUUUAUGUUCGCUCUGAUUCUGAUUCCGAGAGACUGAUUCGUUUAAAUCAGAUCGGAAUUUGCAGUGUGUUAUUCGGUUGCGUUAUUGAGAGACCAUUUCUAUCGUGCGUCUAUGCAAAUGUUCUGGUUAUCGAAUUUUAUGAACUAGGUUCCUCCACAUGAGGAUGGAAAGUUGGAUUUACUUCCUGGGGGAACUGGAAGAAAGCACGAAGCGAAGGUAUAAAACGUUUAUCGGUCGUUUUGUUAGCGACGAUUCGCUGCAGCGAAUUUUAGAUCAUCAGUGUCAAUAAACCGCAAUUUUACUGAAAUGAAAGGAUUUCAGAAAGUUCCCUUUCACUCUUCGUUUCUUCGGCCUCUGACUGGGAAAUGGUAUUUGCUCCAUAUGUGGUGAACGUUUCCCUUUUUCCGACGGUUGGCGAUAUCGCAAGGGUUUUGUGAUAGACGCUCGCUGCUUAGACACUUAGGACGUGUUAUAAUUUAUUAGCUGAAUUCGCAAUUGUUAUGUAAGAAUGUACAUCUGGACUUCUUCUUGUCCCGUCGACUGCAUUCUCGCCGUCGCAUCCAUCAUGCCGUUUACUGGAAAAAGCCCCGUGAAAUGAAGACAACCGACGCGACGACCGGCGAUGGUUAAUGUAUUAUUCUUCUCAUCCCGUUAUGGUGUUGUUUUCUUGCUAAGUUCUUGCAUUUAGCGCCGAUUAUCAUUAAUACGAUUAACACGAGCUUAAUUCGUUCGAAUAAAUAAAAUACAUAGUCGUAGUAAAGAAACAGAAAAAUUAAUAUUCCCGGUAAUAUUAAUAAACAAAAAUAGUCUGUUUAACACGAUAAUAACGGAAGAAAAUUCCAAACACGAGUACAACUCUCGGAAUAAAUAAUGGUAAAGGAAGAGUCUCAACGAUCAUCGGACGAUCCAAGGAGCGUCUUUCAUUUCAACCUCCAAAUCUCGAACCCGAAGACAGUCCUCGAUGGACUGUCAUUACGAGAAAAUAAGGCGAGCUCUAAUGUUAGGGGUCUGUGGAACUGGUUCGGUUCCAAAAUUCUCAGCAAUGGAACAAAGGACUGUCACAAGCACGCCAUGUACUACCGAAACACAAAUCACAAGAAUAUAACAAGAAAAUUGAGAAAAAUAAAUUACGAAUGUUAAAUGAAAGAUAGCGGAUCGUAUUGAAAUUGCAGAUUCUGAUAAAUAGGCAAACCAUAACAGCGUGAUAGCCAAUGGGGAUAAUAAAACUGUUGUUUACGAUGCGAAAAAGUUGCGCAAAAAGGCUUAUCGCACGCUGUGUAUUUCUGUCGAUCGAAGGGAUUCAUCGGUGUCUUUUUACUUCUGUUUUCCGCGCACCAAAUUGCUGUCCGAUAAUUUACGAGAAACCAAGGCUUACCACGGUAUUCACUUAGCACCACUUACGCCACCGGUACGUAAUUGCAUAGAUCAAUUAGGCUGUCCUUGCCGUUAAAUUCAAGCGGAAUUAGCCGGCAGCAAGACUAACGCUUUUACGCUAUCUGGAAGAAUGCGUUUACUAUAAUGAACCACUCGUUCCGAUUCUCCUGCAACGUCUUAAUUUGUAUACAAAGGCUAAACGAACAAACAAUAUUUAGGAGUUGCAUUUGCAUCGCGCGAUAGUGCACAUCGAUGGUUCGAUUAUCACAAAGAUCAGACUGAUUACUCAACUGUUGAUUUUUAUGUAUUUAUAAAAAAUUUGAGAGCACGCAAAAACAUAAUUAAAUGCCCAAAGUGCACUACCUUUUCUAAUAUUAAGUAGUCGAAAGAAAUCUUUACUUAGGUUUCAUUUCUUCGAUCGUGUUUAUAUAAAAAUAUAAAUUUUCCUAAAUAUCUACAGUCUACUCGCACGUAUACCUAUGAACUUCCUGAUACAUCAUCUAUCUUUGAUUGAAAUAAAAAUUCAACAUGUUGCUAGCAGCAGUACAAAGCUACUACAGAGGCAAAGAUAAAAAGAAUAAGUAUACUACGAUGAAAAGGAAUAAAAAUCUACAGUUUUGUUACAACUGUGCAAUUUUCAGCUUUCGUCUCUGGCUUCCAUUGCUAGAUACUACAGGUAUAGUUUAUCAUUUUCGUUAUCUUCCGAUCGUCACGUCCGCGACACGGGCUACGUUUUAUGAAUUAUUAUUAGAUUAUACCAAUGGAAUGACACGAUAUCCCACGACUUGUGGGUUCACGGUGAGCAAGUGCACAACAAUGUUGAACCACCGUCGUGUUGGUGUAAUUAAGAUAAGAAUAAUGAACUUCUAAUGGGCACUCAUCGACGAAAUGUAGGCAUAAAACGACUAUAGAGAAGAUUAGAAAAGUAGAACGUUUACGUCGCUUAUUUAGUUAAUUAUUUCGCGUUGCGUAAUAGACAGCUCUGUCGUGACGAUACAUGCCCGUUGUGAAAAUAGUAACUUAUGCAAUGUAAAACUCAUCGGUAAAUAUUAUCAAUCGACACGGCGAGGAUCGAUAAAUUCAGAGCGGAAGCUAACACGUAUAGCAAAUUGUACACGCUUCCUGUCUCCUUAAUUGCAUAUUAUGCAACAAUAUACGAGUGUAAGUACGUUUGAAUCAGUAACCUGGCCAACAAUCGAUCAAGCAUAAAGACGUUAAAUUGUUUCUUGGCGCUACUUUUUUAGUAAAUUGACAUCAUCAUUGGAAAAAGCUGUAAUUUCAGUCAUCGAUUCACAAGGUGAGCAUAAUUGAUGUAUCGUCUGCUUAAAUGUAACAUGAUGUUUGUGGAAUAAAUUAUUCCUCCUUUGUAAAAUAUUUUCCAUAUUUAUAAUUACGUUUAAAACAUACAUAAUUUUCGUUGAAUAUAAAGAACACGUGUUGUCGAUGGUUCAUCGUUAUUUGAUCCUCGUCAUCAUCUCUCGGUAGAUCGUUAGGAGGUAUCUUCCGGUUCCGUAGGGAGUCGACAAGAGCCGGACAAAACACCAUAAACCAUAUUAAGCAGACUCAUAAACUGCGCCUUAUAUGUGCCGACACAUGCCGUCUGAUUUCAAAUCCCGGGAAGCAGCUCGAUCAAGCUGCUUCUGCCUUGAUACAUAGCCGGGGUGUGUCGUAUAAUAUAUAUUUAUUGAGACAAUAAACCGCAAUUAUGGCCAUCAUAUAACUCGCUAACUAACCCUUUCGUAGUCUCCCUUCUCUUUUCUUUUCUCGAUAUAGAAAAAGGAUUUUUUGGUAUCCAUCGCUGGCGCCUCUAGAGUGAUGAAAAAUUUCUGCACAAAAAUAUCAAGUAAGAUAAUCACUUGAAUGACGAUCUUCCUUCUUUCCUCCUUUAACUCACUGAUUUUCUACUUCUCUCCCUUCCUAUGCUGUCCUUAAUAGAAGAGAUAAACGAGAAAAGAUUUUUGUGCAAUCAUAGCCGGCGCCUUUAGCCUAUUGGGGAAAUUUCUUUGCGAAAGAAUUAAACGCAAAACCGUGUUUGAGCUACAACUUUUUAAAUUCAAUCUGUUUUUAA